UACGAAGGGGGCUAGCGUUGUUCGGAAUUACUGGGCGUAAAGCGCACGUAGGCGGAUGUUUAAGUUAGGGGUGAAAUCCCAGGGCUCAACCCUGGAACUGCCUCUAAUACUGGGCAUCUAGAGUCCGAGAGAGGUGAGUGGAAUUCCGAGUGUAGAGGUGAAAUUCGUAGAUAUUCGGAGGAACACCAGUGGCGAAGGCGGCUCACUGGCUCGGUACUGACGCUGAGGUGCGAAAGCGUGGGUAGCAAACAGG
rnacentral:rRNA from 1 species